CUUCAUGGAUUUUCCUCUUUCGCGAGGGGUUCUGGUCGCCAUUAACCGCGAUAAGCGAGGGAUCACUGUAUGACCAACUCAAGCGCAACAGGAGUUUCGGCAUUAUAAUGGACCAAGAAGGGGUCGGCUGGAUAGAUGUUUGUUACAAAUCAAUAUGGGAGGAUGUGAAGUGAUGCACAGUUAAUGGAUUCAUUGAGACGGGUGACAGGAAGUGGUCGAAAUUACCUAACACCAGUGCUGGAUCCAAGAGGAGACAUUUAUUCGAAAAGGCUGCACUCUAGCAAAUGUUGAUAGACAGAAAACCUUCGGAGACACAAUUUCGGGGGCGUCGUGUGAUGGGCUUGUUUCACAAUUUCUGGCCUUAAUCUUAUAAAAACACUGUGCGAGAGCAUUUUUUUUUUGGAACUUUUGACGAUAACAGACAGAUGAUGGAAACCAGAAGACAGCAAGAGCACGAAGCCAAAAGCUCAGCGAAAGAAUGGAAAAUGACAUUCUGAUGCACGGUUGUGCAACACACAAAUUAAAUGCGUCUAAAAGUGGCAGAUGCAGCAACACUCGCUCCCCUUCUUUGGGUGAUCUGGAAACAUUCCCGGCAACACGGUCGAGCAGAGCGAGCACACCAGUGAAUAAAGUAAGCAGUCCUUUCUGUCAGUUAAUUCAGUGCGCUACUGAAAAUUGAAUGACUGUGGCCAAUAGAAGCAAGUCGGCGGCUGGAAAAUAGCGUGUAGCACAAUCUAUUGUGAAUCAAAGGAAAUGCGAGCUGUCUCGGAGGAGGGGCCCUUGUGUUGCGCUGUAUCAGAUUACAUGAGGUUGAUAAAGAAGGACGGAAAUGGUGAGAAAUGCAUUGGGGUCUAAUUUGCAUGGCUCAUGCGAGGGUUCCCCGAACAGCCACAUAAUAUAUAUCUCCGAGGGCGACUGUUGUGUUCCAGUUGGCUUCCAAAUUCGCAUGAGGAAAAAAAAAAAAAAAGCCACAAGAACACCCUCCGAAGUCAAGUUUCAGGACUGCUUUCCAAUGUAUUACCACUAUAGCCACAUUUUUUAGAACGUUCAGUUCAACUAGCCAAAGUAUGACGUUGACCGUCACGUAAAUCCUGAGUAGACGUGCAGUUUUCAACGACAAGCAGUGCGUUCUGAAUCGAACUUCCUGAUCCUCCGCAUGAUCUCAAUGGCACCUAUUUGCCUUUUUUGUGUUACACUCUUUCUGUUCUUUCGAAUCAAUUUGUUCCACUGUAACAUGGCAGGCAGGCAGACAACUGUCGAUUAAUCAAUCGACAGACGACACCGUGACUGGAUGGAACCCCAGUGACUGAACACUGAAAAGCGGGAAACGUUCACGUCAGUCAUUUCGGGACCCUUUACGAUUGAAACUGCAAUAAAACGCCAGCCAUACCUAAUCGUUCAAUUUGGUGGAAAGGAGGCGCGAAGCGAAACAGACUAAGCCCUGUUGACUGUUUCAUUAGAUAGAUGAUCCACAUUGAUUGCUGCAUGUGUUGCUAUUGUGCUCUCUAGGGUUGGGAGAUUGGUAGCUUAGUUGCGGACUGGGCUGGGGAGAGCUUCAAAGAUGGGCCAUGACCUAAACCCAAGAUCUGCUGGAGAGAUGACAGCUUGCCUUUCUGACAAUGCUGCGACCCCCCACUGUCAGGCACCACCUUUCCAUUGCUCAGGGGGGAUGACACGGUUUUCCCAACCCUCAACUUAGUCUCUUAUGCAGAAAUCCCACAGAAAUGCCAUAAAUGUCAGAAUUUACCUGAACAGUGCUGCAACUGGCUUUGCUUUUCCACAGGCCACGAUCAGACAGAUUUUAUAACAUUCAGAGCUCCAGCAUCUGACGUGAUGCAUUUAAAUACUCAAUUAUAGUGUGACAUGGGAGAAAAAGGAUGAAAAAGAGCAUUUCUUUUUAAAGCAGGCGUAAAAGGGACACCUCCAACCGUCCUAACACUAACAAUAUCAAUAGGUCAUUUGGUUGAAGCAAGCGAUAAAGAAAACAAGAUGUUGGAGAUGUGAUAAGGAGAACAAAGGCAAGUUGGGUGUCUUUUACUCUCCAAAAAACAAAACUGACAGUUUUCACAUCGGGCAGUCGGCUGCUCCUUUUCAACUCUUUCAAGUAUAUCGGACACUCCACUUUGAACCCAGAAAUAUGUAUAACUCCCUCCCCUUCCUGAAAACUACAAUACAUAUCUCUCCCUUGCGGGUCACAAUGAACUGAGCACAUGGAACCUUUUUAUCUCUUUGAAGUUACAUAAGAGUGAUUGUGCCCAUGACAUCCAAGGUACAUGUCUGUGACGUCGUCCGAUACGACGACACUGAUACCACUUCACCAGCCUGACAUUGUGCGUCCAGGAAGAAGCCAUGUCGGCCGCGUGGAGAUAUUUUGAGGAAUUCCUCUCACUGUAUCCUACUUUGAUGCCGAUAAAACCACCUGCAGUCGAGUCAGGCCUGGAAGCCGUCCAGAAACUUGAUCUCUCUGCGUUCCUUCUCUAUGGGAACGGCAGAGCACACCGGCAAGCACUGCCGUUGAAAGGCAACGUCCUCACUCCAACGCUCAAGAGUGCAAGCGGCGGCGUCACCUCCGAGCGACUCCGCCCCCUUCACAUGGACCCCACCCUGCUUGCUGCACGACCUCUGUUCGCGCAAUGCCUUCAUUGUUAACUGGAACUGUUGUAUAGGAGUGUAUUUACUCGGUAAAGCAAUAUUGGCUCACCCGUCAUUUCAUGUUGAUUACAACCGCAUCGAUUUUUUUUUAAAUAAAUGCAUCUUUGUGACUUGACUGGACAAACA